rnacentral:snRNA from 1 species
GUGCUCGCUUCGGCAGCACAUAUGCUAAAAUUGGA